AGCGAACGCUGGCGGCGUGCCUAAUACAUGCAAGUCGAACGUGAAAGGCUUCGGCCUAGUAAAGUGGCGUACGGGUGAGUAACACGUAGGUAAUCUACCUAAAGGUGUGGAAUAACCUGCCGAAAGGCGGGCUAAUACCGCAUAGAGCGAGGGCUUCUCAGGAAGUCCUCGGGAAAGGGAGCUCGCAAGGGCCCUCGCCUUCUGAUGAGCCUGCGUCCCAUUAGCUAGUUGGUAGGGUAAUGGCCUACCAAGGCAAUGAUGGGUAGCUGGUCUAAGAGGAUGAUCAGCCACACUGGAACUGAAACACGGUCCAGACUCCUACGGGAGGCAGCAGUAGGGAAUAUUGCGCAAUGGACGCAAGUCUGACGCAGCAACGCCGCGUGAGUGAAGAAGGCCUUCGGGUUGUAAAGCUCUGUCUAGUGGGAAGAACAGCCGGUCAGUUAACAGCUGAUCGGUCUGACGGUACUACUGGAGGAAGCACCGGCUAACUCCGUGCCAGCAGCCGCAGUAA
rnacentral:rRNA from 1 species